AAUACUAAUGUAUUAAACUUUGUUUAGUACAAUUGGAAUGGAAACAAUACCAAAACCCUUAUUGAGUAACAAUUAGAGGGCAAGUCUGGUGCCAGCAGCCGCGGUAAUUCCAGCUCUAAUAGCGUAUAUUAAUACUGUUGCAGUUAAAACGCUCGUAGUUGAACUUAGAAUUAUUACAAGUUAUUUUACUUGAUUGUAAAGUGCUUGCUUAAUUCUUAUCUACUAGAUACUCUAUUCUGUACUUAAUUGUAUGGAAUAUCACCUAGCCAGUGGGACUUUGGUAGAAUAAUGCCUUUUUUAAUACCAGAGUGUAAAAACUUGAAGUGUUAAAUUGGGAUCACAUUAUUUUAUUGAAGUGGGGUUCUAGUUAAUUUACUUUGAGUAAAUUAGAGUGUUCAAAGCAGCCUCUUGGGGCUUUGAAUAGAUUUAGCAUGGGAUAAUAGAAUAGGAUUUGAUAAUCUAUUUGUUGGUUUGAAUUAAUCAAAUAAUGAUUAAUAGGGACAGUUGGGGGC
rnacentral:rRNA from 1 species